AUCCAGCAGGUGAGUCCCAAAUAGGACGAAACACGCGUCAAACUGGAU
rfam:Schistosoma mansoni, Puerto Rico, WGS project CABG01000000 data, contig: 0041